rnacentral:rRNA from 1 species
CCUGUAGUCGAAAAUGUUGUCUCUCUUGAGUGGAUCCUGAGUACGACGGAGCACGUGAAAUUCCGUCGGAAUCUGGGAGGACCAUCUCCUAAGGCUAAAUACUCUCUAGUGACCGAUAGUGAACCAGUACCGUGAGGGAAAGGUGAAAAGCACCCCGGAAGGGGAGUGAAAUAGAACCUGAAACCGUGUGCUUACAAGUAGUCAGAGCCCGUUAAUGGGUGAUGGCGUGCCUUUUGUAGAAUGAACCGGCGAGUUACGAUUUGAUGCAAGGUUAAGCAGUAAAUGUGGAGCCGUAGCGAAAGCGAGUCUGAAUAGGGCGUUUAGUAUUUGGUCGUAGACCCGAAACCAGGUGAUCUACCCUUGGUCAGGUUGAAGUUCAGGUAACACUGAAUGGAGGACCGAACCGACUUACGUUGAAAAGUGAGCGGAUGAACUGAGGGUAGCGGAGAAAUUCCAAUCGAACCUGGAGAUAGCUGGUUCUCUCCGAAAUAGCUUUAGGGCUAGCCUCAAGUGAUGAUUAUUGGAGGUAGAGCACUGUUUGGACGAGGGGCCCCUCUCGGGUUACCGAAUUCAGACAAACUCCGAAUGCCAAUUAAUUUAACUUGGGAGUCAGAACAUGGGUGAUAAGGUCCGUGUUCGAAAGGGAAACAGCCCAGACCACCAGCUAAGGUCCCAAAAUAUAUGUUAAGUGGAAAAGGAUGUGGCGUUGCCCAGACAACUAGGAUGUUGGCUUAGAAGCAGCCAUCAUUUAAAGAGUGCGUAAUAGCUCACUAGUCGAGUGACACUGCGCCGAAAAUGUACCGGGGCUAAACAUAUUACCGAAGCUGUGGAUUGUCCUUUGGACAAUGGUAGGAGAGCGUUCUAAGGGCGUUGAAGCAUGAUCGUAAGGACAUGUGGAGCGCUUAGAAGUGAGAAUGCCGGUGUGAGUAGCGAAAGACGGGUGAGAAUCCCGUCCACCGAUUGACUAAGGUUUCCAGAGGAAGGCUCGUCCGCUCUGGGUUAGUCGGGUCCUAA